AAUACAGUUAAAACCCUGGCCACUUCCCCCAUCUCAAAACCCUAGUCUCUGCCUCCUCCGCCACCUGCCACCACCGUCCGUGUUUAUCUGGACUACAGUACCGGACGCACUUCACACAAGUAGACGAACAUGGAUAUUGACGGCGUAGAAGAGUCGUCGAGGCAGGUGCAAGUCCGAUUUGUAACAAAGUUAAAGCCACCAUAUAAAGCGCCUCCAACUACCCUUGCCAUUCCCACGAAUAUCACCCGCUUGCGCCUUUCCGAUAUAGUCAACAAUAUCCUCGAGGCUGGCUUUGACGAUUGGCAGUACCAGCCUUUUGAUUUUCUAAUCGAUGGAAAAUUUCUUCGAAUAUCGCUUGAAGAUUUUCUUGUUGCCAAAGGCAUUUCUGCUGAAAGAGUGAUAGAAAUUGAAUACGUCAAAGUUGUGGCCCCGAGAAGAGAAGAUAUUUCUUUACAUGAUGAUUGGGUUAGUGCCGCCGAUGGAUCACAUGACGGGUACAUUUUGACUGGAUGCUAUGAUGGUUUGGGAAGGAUAUGGAAAGAUGCUGGAAUUUGUACACAUGUAUUAGAAGGGCAUACUGGUCCCGUUACUUCAGUUUGUGUCAUCAAGCUAAAAGUUGAGAAUGCUUUCAAUCUAGUAGCUACUGCUUCUAAAGACAGGUCUCUUAGGUUAUGGAAGAUUGAUGCAGGAGAGUUGGCUCAACCAAAAAAGACACGAGCAUUUAAGAUAUUAAAAGGUCAUAAUGCUGCUGUGCAGAGCAUUGCUUCACAGCCUUCUGGGGAGAUGCUGUGUUCGGGUUCCUGGGACUCUGCAAUCAACUUGUGGCGGGCAAAUGGUUCUGAUGCUGGAGGGGAUAUAGUUUCAGUGAAGAGGAAAAAAAGUCGCGGAGAUGAGGAACCUCAAUCUGAGGAGGAGGCUGUAUCUACUCUUGUGGGGCACACACAAUGUGUCUCUUCUUUAGUCUGGCCGCAACACGAGACAAUUUAUUCAGCAUCAUGGGAUCAUUCUAUUAGAAGAUGGGAUGUUGAGACUGGCAAAGAUUCUCUAAACAUGUUCUGUGGGAAGGCUAUCAAUUGUCUGGAUAUUGGAGGUGAAAGUUCUGCCCUCAUUGCAGCUGGAGGUUCUGACCCUAUAAUUCGGAUAUGGGAUCCUCGCAAACCAGGUCUCCCUCUCUCUGGACGCAUGCAUGUGUUUAUAUACGUGCAAGGAAAUAUGAUCCUAUCUUUCAAUUUUCGGGACAUAAUUCAUGGAUUUCUUCUUGCAAAUGGCACAAUAAAUCAUGGUUUCACUUGGUCUCUGCAUCAUACGAUGGAAAAGUUAUGAUAUGGGAUCUGAGAGCUGCGUUUCCACUGCAUGUGAUUGAGUCGCAUAAGAAUAAGGUGUUGUGUGCUGACUGGUGGAAAGAUGACAGCGUGAUAAGUGGUGGUGUGGACUCAAAACUUUGCAUCUCGUCUGGAAUUUCUGUGGAGUGAUCAAGCCAAGAAAUCGUUGCAUUGGCUUUUCCAUCAAACAUGGCGUAGCUGUUUACCUACGUAUAAUUCUGGGCUGUCAGUCGAAUUUUUGUUUUUAUAAUUUAUUUAUACACAAAUUAAAAACCAUGGUCCGUUUUAGCUUAUUCCAAAUCUUAAUAUCUUCUUCGGAUGAAAUUUUUUUUCCGCACACCCUUGUCCCUAGAUGACGAAUAAUCGUGCCUCUGUCGACUACAAGUCUUUUGUGAAGUCCCCAUGGUUUUCGAUUAUUUUUGAAGUCUACCAAAAGUACGUAGAUUUACCAAAAUUGUAUCAAAGCCAUUUUAUCUUAUAAAUACAAUGGAAAAUUUGUUUGGAUAA